GACGUAGGGAGCAAGCGUUGUCCGGAAUUACUGGGCGUAAAGAGCUCGUAGGCGGGAGCGUGCGUCUGAAAGGAAAUCUCAGGGCUCAACUCUGGGGCUUUUUCAGAUACGGCGCUUCUUGAGUGUAACAGAGGAAAGCAGAAUUCCCGGUGUAGCGGUGAAAUGCGUAGAGUAUCGGGAGGAAUACCAGUGGCGAAGGCGGCUUCUCGGUUGACCCACUGACGCGAGAGCGAAGCUGGGAAGCGAC
rnacentral:rRNA from 1 species